ACGUGGGGCAGUGGCACAACGGAUAACGCGCCUGACUAUGGAUCAGGAGAUUCCCUGUUCGAAUUGGCUGACAUA